CAUGAAGGUCCCAGUUCUUCCUGCUGUGGCUCUCCUCUCUCUUCUGGCUCUGCACUCUGCCCAGGGGGCUGCCCUGGGGGGUUCCGAGGAAGAAAGCACCAUCGGGAACUACGUGGCGGGGUCCGAGGCCUUUAACC